rnacentral:rRNA from 1 species
UACGGGGGGGGCAAGCGUUGUUCGGAAUUACUGGGCGUAAAGGGCUUGUAGGCGGCCAACUAAGUCAGACGUGAAAUCCCCAGGCUUAACCUGGGAACUGCGUCUGAUACUGGAUGGCUUGAAUUCGGGAGAGGGAUGCAGAAUUCCAGGUGUAGCGGUGAAAUGCGUAGAUAUCUGGAGGAAUACCGGUGGCGAAGGCGGCAUCCUGGACCGACAUUGACGCUGAUGAGCGAAAGCUAGGGGAGCAAACAGG